UUGAUCCUGGCUCAGGAUGAACGCUGGCGGUAUGCUUAACACAUGCAAGUCGAACGGUCUCUUCGGAGAUAGUGGCGGACGGGUGAGUAACGCGUGAGAAUCUAGCUUCAGGUCGGGGACAACAGUUGGAAACGGCUGCUAAUACCGGAUGUGCCGAAAGGUGAAAGAUUUAUUGCCUGAAGAUGAGCUCGCGUCUGAUUAGCUAGUAGGUGUGGURAGAGCGCACCUAGGCGACGAUCAGUAGCUGGUCUGAGAGGACGAUCAGCCACACUGGGACUGAGACACGGCCCAGACUCCUACGGGAGGCAGCAGUGGGGAAUUUUCCGCAAUGGGCGAAAGCCUGACGGAGCAAUACCGCGUGAGGGAGGAAGGCUCUUGGGUUGUAAACCUCUUUUCUCAAGGAAGAAUACAAUGACGGUACUUGAGGAAUAAGCAUCGGCUAACUCCGUGCCAGCAGCCGCGGUAAUACGGAGGAUGCAAGCGUUAUCCGGAAUGAUUGGGCGUAAAGCGUCCGCAGGUGGCAAUGAAAGUCUGCUGUUAAAGAGUGAGGCUCAACCUCAUAAAAGCGGUGGAAACUACAUAGCUAGAGUACGUUCGGGGCAGAGGGAAUUCCUGGUGUAGCGGUGAAAUGCGUAGAGAUCAGGAAGAACACCGGUGGCGAAAGCGCUCUGCUAGGCCUGUACUGACACUGAGGGACGAAAGCUAGGGGAGCGAAUGGGAUUAGAUACCCCAGUAGUCCUAGCCGUAAACGAUGGAUACUAGGCGUGGCUUGUAUCGACCCGAGCCGUGCCGGAGCUAACGCGUUAAGUAUCCCGCCUGGGGAGUACGCACGCAAGUGUGAAACUCAAAGGAAUUGACGGGGGCCCGCACAAGCGGUGGAGUAUGUGGUUUAAUUCGAUGCAACGCGAAGAACCUUACCAAGACUUGACAUGUCGCGAAUCCUCUUGAAAGGGAGGAGUGCCUUAGGGAGCGCGAACACAGGUGGUGCAUGGCUGUCGUCAGCUCGUGUCGUGAGAUGUUGGGUUAAGUCCCGCAACGAGCGCAACCCUCGUUUUUAGUUGCCAGCAUUAAGUUGGGCACUCUAGAGAGACUGCCGGUGACAAACCGGAGGAAGGGUGGGGAUGACGUCAAGUCAGCAUGCCCCUUACGUCUUGGGCUACACACGUACUACAAUGCUACGGACAAAGGGCAGCAAGCUAGUGAUAGCAAGCAAAUCUCAUAAACCGUAGCUCAGUUCAGAUCGAAGGCUGCAACUCGCCUUCGUGAAGUCGGAAUCGCUAGUAAUUGCAGGUCAGCAUACUGCGGUGAAUUCGUUCCCGGGCCUUGUACACACCGCCCGUCACACCAUGGAAGCUGGCAACGCCCGAAGUCAUUACUCCAACCAUUCGUGGAGGAGGAUGCCUAAGGCAGUGCUGGUGACUGGGGUGAAGUCGUAACAAGGUAGCCGUACCGGAAGGUGUGGCUGGAUCACCUCCUUU
rnacentral:rRNA from 1 species